rnacentral:rRNA from 1 species
GAUGAACGCUGGCGGCGUGCCUAAUACAUGCAAGUCGAGCGAACGGACGAGAAGCUUGCUUCUCUGAUGUUAGCGGCGGACGGGUGAGUAACACGUGGAUAACCUACCUAUAAGACUGGGAUAACUUCGGGAAACCGGAGCUAAUACCGGAUGAUAUUUUGAACCGCAUGGUUCAAAAGUGAAAGACGGUCUUGCUGUCACUUAUAGAUGGAUCCGCGCUGCAUUAGCUAGUUGGUAAGGUAAUGGCUUACCAAGGCAACGAUGCAUAGCCGACCUGAGAGGGUGAUCGGCCACACUGGAACUGAGACACGGUCCAGACUCCUACGGGAGGCAGCAGUAGGGAAUCUUCCGCAAUGGGCGAAAGCCUGACGGAGCAACGCCGCGUGAGUGAUGAAGGUCUUCGGAUCGUAAAACUCUGUUAUUAGGGAAGAACAUAUGUGUAAGUAACUGUGCACAUCUUGACGGUACCUAAUCAGAAAGCCACGGCUAACUACGUGC